rnacentral:rRNA from 1 species
UACGUAGGGACCAAGCGUUGUUCGGAUUUACUGGGCGUAAAGGGCGCGUAGGCGGCAAUUCAAGUCAUCUGUGAAAUCUCCGGGCUUAACUCGGAACGGUCAGAUGAUACUGCUUUGCUAGAGUGCGGAAGGGGCAAUCGGAAUUCUUGGUGUAGCGGUGAAAUGCGUAGAUAUCAAGAGGAACACCUGAGGUGAAGACGGGUUGCUGGGCCGACACUGACGCUGAGGCGCGAAAGCGUGGGGAGCGAUCCGG